CGAAUCCUGAAGUGUUCGUUAUUUGACCUUUAAGUUUUGACCGAACAUUUCUAUCGUAGGGAGUUCACAUUCCAAUUCGGAUGACACGCCUCUCAGGGGACGUCAAAACAGUUGGAUAGGACACCCACCUGCCGAGUGCGGGCUCAAAACGAUAUCUUCAAAGACGGCAUAUUUGGGAUUCGU
rnacentral:other from 1 species